GAAUCUUCUAGAUAAAAAUAAUAAUUGAAGGUCCAGAUAAUUUGCUAGUUUUAUAAAUGGAAGACAUACGAGCAGUAAGAGAAUCCCCUGAAAAUUAUGAUAUCCACUCAAUUUUCAUGAGAUGCCUCACAACAGCUCGCUCCCAAAAGAAAAGGAUCAGUGGUAGGACAUGGCCACCUUUUUCAGGCCUCAAAUUCAACUGCACAGAAAUCUUAAGGCCUGGCCUGGAUCGACGCAUCCUAUAGUAACCUAAUAAUCGAAUCUCAUAAUUUAAAUUCUCAUUGUCCUUUUUUUUCCUUUAGAAAUUUGAAGUAGCAAAGGUUUCAUCUCCUAGUUAAGUUACAAGUCUAAGCACAGCUUCGACGGUGAGAUUCAGACCGCCGUGAACAGGCUUACUGAGAGCUGUAAAUACUAUAAAGCAUAGCCUGAAGGGUGGGUAAAAUCACGCAGAGAAUGCUAAAUUUUUGCCGCUUUAAGUUUGGCAGUUUUCAGUUUUGUUUGUGGUCAAAAGACGACAGCCGAGGGGCUCAUUUCAGCAAAUCCAAACAUCUAAUGCCUAAUGGUAAUAGUUCAACCUUGGAAUUUUUCAUAAAGCAUAAUGACAAACCUGUCCACUUGACGAGGCACGAACUUUCUUGCAAGCCUGAUUUUCUAGUCCAUUCCUCCAAAU
rnacentral:misc_RNA from 1 species